UUGACUUGCCUUUAUGUGCAUUUGUUCAAUUUCCAGACCUCGAACUUAUCUUUUUUUAUUUAACUUUUUUUGAAUCACUCCUGAUCCAUAUAAUGCCAGGUUCAAGUAUUUUUAUUUCGUUAACCUAGCACUAGUGAGCGGAGAGUCGAUGAACUGAUUCUAAAGAUCCCAGAUCCCCAAGAAAAAAUACGCAGGGUGACUCACUAAGUAAUAACUGACAAGAAAUUUG